AGUUCCUAAAUUGCCUAACACCUUCCCAAGGUGUGGGUCGCGGGUUCGAGUCCCGUCUUCC
rnacentral:tRNA from 2 species